CAGCCUUUAAGAAGAGUACAUUUCUCAUUCUCACGGUCAAUCUUAAGAAUAAAUUAUGCCAGAACAAAGGCUGAUUGCAAGACUCAGGGAAGAACUUGGACACAGCCCUAUUGUGUUAAAUGGGGUUUUUAGCUUCGUCCUGGCUGGCGUGGAGAAGAUAGUGGAGGUGGAAUUUGCUUGCCCUUGCAAUCCUCAGUGGAACGAAAAAACUUUCCUGAAGUGGCGUACACCAACCAACACAACAAGAUACCCAUCAGAAGAACUCAUGGCUUAUUCACACAGCAUGUUUGUUUUGCCUCAGGGGACCGGAUUGUGUCUGCUCAUGGCUGUUGUCAUAUCUCUUCUCUCAUAUGCCAUUUACAAGUGCUGCUGUGCUAACAAAUAAAAAGGACAAAAAAAACAGAAAAAACAGAAGAAGAAGAAGAAGAAGAAGAAGAACUCAAUGGAUCAUUAGAUAUCCCUUGAUAUGCAUACAGAGAGCAUCUUCAGAAACACAUGAUCAGAAAAACAUAUUCUCUAUAAACAUUCUCCCUCUCUAAUUUAGUAUUACCAGCAGUUAUAUGCUACAGUUUCAGCAUUACGUAGCAGGCAGACAAACUUAGUGGCUCAAAACAGACAUAGAAAGAGAGUAAAUAUAAGACUCAUGAAUCAGGUGGCCUGAAAUACGAAAUAAACUACAAUACGAUGAUACUACAUGUUGCUCUGUGCCUGCUGGAUGUAUAAGAAGGUGCACAAGUGUUAAUAAGUCAGGCCUGUGUUUGUUGGCCUAUUUUUUUAUUUUAGUUCUUCUGCCCUCUAGUGGCCAAACAAUCAUUAGAUGCCUAAAGAAU